rnacentral:tRNA from 1 species
GUAGGUACAGCUCAGUGGUUCAGCACAUGCUCAGCACGCACGAGGUUCUGGGUUCAAUUCCCAGUACCUCUG